UACGAAGGGGGCUAGCGUUGCUCGGAAUCACUGGGCGUAAAGCGCACGUAGGCGGGUCCUUAAGUCAGGGGUGAAAUCCUGGAGCUCAACUCCAGAACUGCCCUUGAUACUGAGGAUCUCGAGUUCGGGAGAGGUGAGUGGAACUGCGAGUGUAGAGGUGAAAUUCGUAGAUAUUCGCAAGAACACCAGUGGCGAAGGCGGCUCACUGGCCCGAUACUGACGCUGAGGUGCGAAAGCUAGGGGAGCAAACAGG
rnacentral:rRNA from 1 species